UCAUACAAUCGAUUAUAUUCCCUAAAAUCAGGAAUCUGUCUUUUGAACGUUGGUCAUACAAUCGAUUAUAUAGUCCAUACAAUUGAUUGUAUAAGCACAGAAUCAGGGAUUUUGUUUAAACAAUUAGACAACGGUCUGGUGCAUUUAGAGGCCUAUAAAUACACCUCUAAAUCACUCUUCUCAACAUAACAAUCUGAGCAAACAUCAUAUACAAGCUUCCAAACAUUCUACAUUCAUUUCAUAUUUUUAA
rnacentral:lncRNA from 1 species